UAGGGAAUCUUCCACAAUGGACGCAAGUCUGAUGGAGCAACGCCGCGUGAGUGAAGAAGGUUUUCGGAACGUAAAGCUCUGUUGUUGGUGAAGAAGGAUAGAGGUAGUAACUGGCCUUUAUUUGACGGUAAUCAACCAGAAAGUCACGGCUAACUACGUGCCAGCAGCCGCGGUAAUACGUAGGUGGCAAGCGUUGUCCGGAUUUAUUGGGCGUAAAGCGAGCGCAGGCGGAAGAAUAAGUCUGAUGUGAAAGCCCUCGGCUUAACCGAGGAACUGCAUCGGAAACUGUUUUUCUUGAGUGCAGAAGAGGAGAGUGGAAUUCCAUGUGUAGCGGUGGAAUGCGUAGAUAUAUGGAAGAACACCAGUGGCGAAGGCGACUCUCUGGUCUGCAACUGACGCUGAGGCUCGAAAGCAUGGGUAGCGAACAGG
rnacentral:rRNA from 1 species